CGGCCUGAAGCCAUGCUCACGUGAUCACCUGGAGCGAGGUAUUUGCUUCUUGCGGGUUGCAGCUCUGGAUGGAGAGAUCCUGCAGUUGGUAUGGGGUGGUUUGGAGCAGUGUGGGGCUAACUGCUAGACUCAGACAUUCGUGCUUUGCCCUUUGAUGUUUUUCAUGCUGAGGCUUUUCUUUUGCAUCCUCAGCAGGUGCCUGCAUUGUAUCUGGGAACGGGAUGGCAAGCAUGGGGAUUGACGGCGCACAAGGGCUGAAAGUGCAGCGUGAUGCCAGGUGUGAGGACCCACCUUGCCAAGGCUUCAGGCACUGAAGACGAGGUGAAGAGCCGCAGAGAUGGUGGAGGAGGAAAUGGGCAGCUGUCUCGUGACUUCCCAGUUUGUGUGGUGUGAGGCCUCUGCCCCUGUGACAUCACCUGUGUGGAGCCUGCAGUGGGUUUGAGCUUCCUUGGAGCGGUGUGAUGUCUUCGUCUUCCUGUCUGACCACUUGUUCCGCACUUGUUCUUCCAUGUUUCCAGGAGCUGUUGUGUGUGUAUCUUUGCAAGUCAUGCUGUGUGUACAGUGGUUACUGUGAUGCAUCACGUUUUGAGUGCCUGUGACUAUCCAGCUCCGGGAGGCCACAGACAAGCCUUUGAGAGCUCGGGUAAAGCCUGUAUGUAACUUGUGGGGGAAGAGGGAUGCAGGGAGUUCUGUGCCAUGCUGGUGGAAGAUGAAGGAAAACAAUUCUUAAAGGAGGUGCCUGUGUACCCUGUGCAGAGAGGAAGGCAAUCGGGGACGAGGCUGGGCUGGAGAAGGAGCAGAAUUGUGCCAGGUUGGGAUCCUGCCCCGCGUGGAGGGAAAUGAAGGCGGGUUCAGGGAGCGGAGCAGAGCCGAGCGGUGCCCACGGAGGCUGAGGCGGGAGGAAUCGAAUGUCGCGAGAUGUGUCGGCGCUGGAUGGGCAGAUCCCGUAGCUGGGGUCCUGGUGUACGUGGAAGGAAAGGGCGAGGGCAAAGGGACUGGAGCUGAGAAGUGCUAAGGGAGCCAGAGGAUCAGGAUGCUAGAAGGUGUUUUGUGUUUG